GAUGAACGCUGGCGGCGUGCUUAACACAUGCAAGUCGAACGGAAAGGCCCAAGCUUGCUUGGGUACUCGAGUGGCGAACGGGUGAGUAACACGUGGGUGAUCUGCCCUGCACUUCGGGAUAAGCCUGGGAAACUGGGUCUAAUACCGGAUAGGACGAUGGUUUGGAUGCCAUUGUGGGAAGUUUUUUCGGUGUGGGAUGAGCUCGCGGCCUAUCAGCUUGUUGGUGGGGUAAUGGCCUACCAAGGCGUCGACGGGUAGCCGGCCUGAGAGGGUGUACGGCCACAUUGGGACUGAGAUACGGCCCAGACUCCUACGGGAGGCAGCAGUGGGGAAUAUUGCACAAUGGGCGCAAGCCUGAUGCAGCGACGCCGCGUGGGGGAUGACGGCCUUCGGGUUGUAAACUCCUUUCGCUAGGGACGAAGCGUUUUUGUGACGGUACCUGGAGAAGAAGCACCGGCUAACUACGUG
rnacentral:rRNA from 1 species